AAGACUUUAAGUUAAAUAAACUAAUAUCCUUCAAAGUUAUAAAUAAAGAAUAAUUUCUUUAAGUCUUA
rnacentral:tRNA from 1 species